UUAGUUAAAACCAAAAAGAGGUAUAUUAUUGUUAAUAAUAAAAUUGAAUCAGUUUCUAACUAAC
rnacentral:tRNA from 1 species